UCAGUACAUUAAAAUUCAGUAAAUGUUAUUUCUGUCAAAAAUGUUUUCAGCCUUAUAAGUGCAGUUCUCUAUAUGUCAUGAUUCACAGUGCACAUAUCCACUGGUGACUAUGCUUGACCACAGCACACCGAAACAAUGGUAAGAGCAUCACAGUAUUCGGCAGUAGAGCUUUGAGUUUAAUACAACUGUUUUUAAAGUAGUGUUAAAUUCAUUGUCAUGUCCAGUCUGAAAAGACAAACUCUAAAAAGAAUAUACAGAAUCACUCCUGUUUGUGCCUGAGUUUCUCACACCACCUCUGGCUUAAUCAGACACCUUCCUCCCUCAGCAGUAUUUAGUUGUUUAUAGAUCUUUGUACUUUCAUAUUGUUAUUAUUUAGUGAGCUUAUAACCAUAGAGCAGCCACUGUUGGAGUUUUAUUGGAAUUUCAUUGAUUUUGUAGAUGAGAUUUGGUAUCUUCAUAGUGUUAGCUUCCAGUUCACCAACAUACACCUUUUGUUAUUCAGGGUUUUAAAAAUGUUUUUAAUUAGGUUUCAUUUUUUUUUCUUUGAUUUUUUUAUCGGUACCGGGGAUCGAACUCAACGCCUCUGAGCUAAAUCCCCAGCCCCUUAAUUAUGUUUUGUAAUGCUUUGAUAAUGGUGCCAUAAAUUAUAUCAUAAAAAGAAUAGAAUCUCACUGAGUAUAUAAAUGCUCAUGCAAUAAACAUAUAUAAAACUAUGUCAGAAAUUACUAUCAUCUUGUUUUGAAAACCUAUAUAGCUAUUGUUUUAUUGUUGUUGUAGUCAUUUUGCUUUUGUCGUUUUUGAGAUUUGUUUACAUUUAUAUUUUUCUGCUUUUCUCUUCUUUAAAAUAAAAAAGUGCACAAUACAUACUGUGACUUGGGAAGAAACUGUUUAAGGGACAAACUGGAUGGGGGAAAAGAAGAAUGGGUAAAGGGAAAAUAUACAUACAUACAGGAGACUUAAGGUAGUUAUAUAGCUAGAUUCUGUUAUGUCAUGCUUCAGAGACAUAUGUGCACCCAGAUUUAUAGAAGUACUAUUUGUGAUAGCUAAGUCUUGGAAAUAGCCCAAAUGUCCAUCAAUCACAGAAUGGAUAAAAAGAUGUGGUAUGUUUAUACAACGGAAUAUUAAUCAGCCAUAUAGAAGGAUAAUGUUGAGGCUUUUGUAGGUAAAUAGAGGCUACUUGAAACCUUAUACGCAAGUGAAAUUAAUCAAGCAAGCAUUUGUAAGUAUCAUAUUGUCUCCCUAGUGUAAAAAAGACUGAAAGAGUAAUGGGAUUCUAAAUGGUAUUGUGACGAUGUUUUCAUUUCCUUUUGGAAAGAAAGUGCUCAAAAGGAAAACAUAUCUGGGCAAGGGGAAAAAGUAAAAGACGAAGGGAAAAGAUUGUAUGUAUAUAGGUAUACAUAUAUGUAUGUAUGUAUAUACAAGAUAGGUAGCUUUAAUACUAAUCUCCAUUAGUUCAUCCAAUAGAACAGUUUGUGCUUCCCUUGUUUGAUUGUUUGAUCAUUUUUUUAUGUCUAAAUCUUGUAACUUGAACAAUGAUUUCUCAGAUAACAAUAUACAAUAUAUUAAUUACUGUUAACUUCCUACUAUUUUUUUUUAAAUUCUGUGUUGUUUCUAUAUUUUUUCUGUUUUGAUUUUAAAGUAAAAAAAGAAACUGUUCUGGAUCUAGAGGAUACAUAAAGAACGUUUCAGUCCUAUUCUCAGGGGUCCAUUUACUUUCUAAUGAUGUAAGAUAUAAACAUUAAAAAAUCAAAAAUUUCAAUUUUACCUCUGAGAACAUGAAUGAAACAAUAACUAAAAAGAAGAAAGUAGGGUCUGGGGAUUUAGCUCAGCGGCAUAAGUGCCUGCCUUGCAAGCAGGCAGUCGUGAGUUUGAUCCCUGGUACCGAUAAAAACAAAAAAAGACCAAAAAAAGAAGAAAGUAAUGAUUUUAUGUUGUAAACACAGUCAACUGUAAAAAGUGAACACAUGACCAGUCCAGAAAACAGUGGAUAACUCUGGACUGGGAGCUGGGUCAAAGGCAGAGAGAUAAGAGGAAGGAGAUGUCAGGGAGAAUGAAUUUGAUUUCUAAGUGAGGUAUCUUGGCUUUAUCCAGUGUUUUUCAAAUUUUUCUAGGAAUGUUUUCUCAGGAGACACAGUAAGGUAGGGUGAGUAACUAAGAUUGUGGAGCCCAUUCUUGCCUCACACAGAACAACUCUGCUUUCAACUGUUCUAUGAGUUGGAUUUCCAGUGGGAUUUUAUUUGAAGAAAGGCUGCCAAGAUAUUAAAUAGUCUCAAUAUUACUCUCAUGCUAUCAAGAUAGUGAAUACUUUUAAACCAAGGAAUACCACAGUCAGAUUUCUCUUUUAAGUUUGGGUUUUGAAAGACCAGCACUGCAUAGUGAUUAACUAAAAGACAGGGUAGAGACCAGAUAGGCUCUUGAAAGAGUGCCAAAGAGAGAUUAAGAAUUAAAACUGAAUAAAUGGGGAAAAAUCAAGGGUCAUUUUUGUGAUACUUGGGAAUAAUCUUAGUAGGAUCCACUGAUCAGAUAAACAGGAAUAUUAUGAAGAAAAAAGAGAGUCACUGAGGUUUACAGCAUAGACUGAAUGGAUUUAGAUUUUAGUAUACACAAGAGUGUCUAUGGGGUUGAUUAAAAUAGAUUCUUGAGAUUCCAUAUCCAAAGAUUCUGACUUAAUAAAACUGGGGUAAAACCUAGGAAUUUUGAUAGAAUACUGUGAACAGAGAUGGAUAAUAUAAAACAGAAGAGCCAGAUCAGUGACAGCUAUGCAGAGAACAGCACAGAUUGAGUAGGGUUGACACACAAGGACACACAUAGGAAUUGGGGAAGUAGAAGAAAAUAUUCUAGAAAGAUACCUUUAGAAGUUACUUAACUUGAACAAGAUGAUGCUGAUACAGGAGCAGGAACUCUGGUCCAAAUGUAGACUCUGAAAUUUUUAGUUGUGGAAUCUUGGAGAAAAGACUGAACUUCUGUGUGUCUUGGUUACAUGGAAAAUGCUAGAAUAGCCCUGAAGUCACAGUAGAUCUUCAGAAAGUCUGAGCAGUUACAAUUAGUAGCAGCAUUAGACCUAUAUUUUAGCCUCUGUUUCAUAUUUGUCGGCCCAUGUUCAAUAAUUUUCUGAAUGUAGUAAAAGAUUUUUACUGGAUUUAAUUCUUGUUCAAGGAUCUACUCUGUAGGUUGCAGUGGAACAAUUUUUUAGUUAUAUCCUAUUGUGCAUAAAUAUAAAAAAAAAACAAAUAGGAGCAUUUUCAGAAGAACAAUAAGACUCCAGAAUUCACUUGAAAGAAAAUCAAUGGUUGUUCAGUUUUGUAUGUAUUUGUUUAGAAAAAAUCUUCCCAUGUUGAGAGCUCAAACUCUGUAAUAGCCAGCAAACAUAAUUAAGUGGUAGCUGUAAAUGGUUUGAAGGCAGUUAAAUUCUUUCUUCCCGAACCUGGGUAGUAAAAACAGAUCAUUCCAUUUUUUUAAUGAGACUGAAUGGACUUCCUUGAGGGUAAGAUUAAUAGCAUUUUCUCUAUACUAGCCUCUGAAUUAAAAGGAGGUGAUUCCUCAACACAAAUUGAGUUUUUAGUAAACACCUUGUUCUAAUUAAAAUAUUCAACAUAAAAAUCCUACAUUCAUCUGAGGGCACAACUUUGGAUAUACCAUUCUCUGUUGGAAAUUGGAAAAAUAUCUAUUUUGCACCAGGCUUUUCCUACUUUGCUUGAAAAUUUAUCCUUGAUAUAAUGCCACUUGAUACAAUACAAUAAACUUCAAAAUUUUAAUCACACAAAUUUAAUUGUGAUGUCUGACCAGGGGACUGAAGACCAUUGCUGUCUAUACAUAGCUCUUGGGAGGAGGUACAAAUAGACUCCACCUUACUUUGCUAUUUGAAAUAAAUGUAUUCAAUAUGACCGUAUAUUUUUACUAAGUGAACCCUGCUGAACUUUCAGUUUUGUAAUCUUCAUAAAAGUAUAUUUACAUUUAAAGUCUAUUUUUAGACGUGAGAACAUGAUUAUCUGAUAGCUAUGAGUGAAGCGUGAUUUCUUACAUUCCCACUUUCCUGUAGUAUCUAUAUUUUGGUGAAGUCUACCAUUCAUAUUCUUAGAAAACAUUGUCAGCAUUAAUUAAUUUUUAAAAUCUAUAAUUUGAUUUUGACUACAGUUUUAUUAUUUUUAUAUUUAUUUAUUUGUUGGUAUCAGAGAUCAAACUCACGACCUUGAGAUUGGCAGGCAGGCACUUAUGCUGUCGUGCUAAAUCCCCGGCCUGGAUUUUGACUCUUUUAUGUGCUUGAGAAUGGUAUAUAUCUGAAGUUGUUUAUAAAGUUCAUUUUCUUAGUUCCUCUGUAAGUGCCAACACUCUGUUUUAAAUGUUUUCUAACUGUACAACACCAAAAUUAAAGUGCUACUAUAGUUUAUUUACAGAACUGCCAACACUUCAAUGAAUUGGACAUGUUUUAAUGUACAAACAGAGCAUUUCCUGACAUUUUGUUAGAUUAAAUCAAAUUAGAUUAAAUGAAUAGGUCGACUGUUACAAAGAUUGCAACCUAAAUUAUACUUUACCAAGAGUUACAAAUGGUGCUGUGUCCAUUGGAAAUGAACAAGGUUAUUAAAGUUUUGGUGAAGAUAAAUUUGAUUUUAAUAUUUUUUCAGUGAAAAUGAAAAUAUAUUAAUGUUUGCAGCUGAUGGAGCUUAGUAGAAGGUUAAAAAUUAAGGUGAAAGAUCAUUUAAAUGAAUAGAAGAUAACCAAAAUAGAAAAUAAUUAUACCUAAUAAAGAUGUAUAGUCAUUGUGUAAACAUAGCCAGAGAAUUUAAAAUUUCAUUUUUAAAAUUAACUUAGUUUUUCUACCAGUAUGUGUUACAGUACAUGAUUAUUUCCAAGAAUUUAAAAUGUUAUAAUAAUGAAAUAAAAUAGGAAACAAAGCAAAAUGCUAGACUCAAAAAUCAAUGUGAAUUUUUGCAAAGAAAAGAUGAAAAGUAAUAUGCACUAAUGCCCAGAAGCAUGAAUGAAGUAUAGGAUAACAUAAAACAUCAGUAUUUCAGAACUUUAAUGCUGAAAUAUAAAAUCACAAAUGAGAAAACCAGACCCUUCUUGCAUAGGAUUACUGUAUAAUGGAGAUACUUAUUGUUUAAGUAAAUUUUAUCUGUUGUAAAAAUUAUCAAAUAUUUCAUGGCAUUUGUCAAGGAAAAUUGGAGCUACAACAUUCAGGACAGAACUCCAGAACUCUGCCCUCUCAGGAAGAUGCUACAGCACAGAGGUGCUGAGAUGUUCUUAAUCAACUCCUGAAAACACGGGCUCUGGUGUUUGACAGCCUGGUUCUUCAACCUGAUCCAAUUAUCUAUUAAUUGUUUAUGAUAUUUCUGUUCCUUAAUUUAUUCUUAUAUGAGUGGGAUGGUGAUGAUAUGUCUAUCCCAUAGAGUUCUUGUGAAGAUUAAAUGGGUUAAAGUAUGUAAAGUCCAGGUGUGAUGGUGUACAAAGUAAGCCCAAGAUUUGGGAAGCUUAAACAGGAGGAUCUCACGUCACAUGCCAAUCAUAAACUACAUAGGAAGUCCGGGACCAUCUUGGACUACAUAGAUAGAUCCUUUCUCAAAAAGCAAAUAAACCAAAACUCAAAAGAAUACAACCAAACUAAUCCAAACAACAAAAUGUGUAAAGCACUUAAAAUAGUCCCAUGAAUUGUUCUAAGUAUUAUUUUUUUCUUUCUGAUUAUGAAAAAUGAAGCUAAAAUUUCAUCCAGUGGAGCUACUAUAUGUUAAUAAAAGUAAUACUCUAAGGAAUUAUUCUAUACAUUGAAAAUAAUACCAUUUUAAGGUUCUCCCACACUGAGAUAUUAGAAAGUUCUACUUCUUAAAGAAAGUGAUCUUUAGAAUAUAAAGGAUGCAUUCUACUUUUUACCAUUUCCAUACUGACAUUUUGAUUCUGUGACAUAUGACAUAUUUCAUGAUCCUAAAAAGAAAAACCAUUUAACACUAUUUUUUUCUUUAACCAAACUAUGUAUUUGAAAUGGACCCAUCCUUGAGCCUCAAAUGGUUUCUCUGAAUUUUCAUGACACCUUAGUGUAUAUUUGCUCAGUUCUGCCCUAGAUGACAAGAUCAUUUUUAUAUGACUAAUGAGGGAUUGGAUUACCUUGUGGUUUUGCAUUUCCAUUCUUGCUCUAUCUGACCUUCAUCUGGUUCCCCAGUUCUAACAAGUAACUCCCACCUAGUGCCCACAUCUAGUCUUGCUGACCCUCACCACCUCUUCUGUACUUGAAGGGUGCUAUGCUGACAUGGAUUUUAAGUAUGGUACGUCUAUUAACCCUUUUAAUCCUACAACACUUCUAUGAGUAGAAACCAUUAUUACUCCCAUUUUAUAAAUGACUAAACUCAAGUACAAGGAAGCUAAGUAAAAUUUCCCCGAUUCCACACAGCUGAAAAAAUAGAGUUGGUAAGAGUAGAAUCGUAGUAGAACUGAGAUUUACACUCAGCUUAUCUAGACGUAAAGUCCAUGCUGUCAACUCAUACACUCAGUAGCUAAAGCCUGCUCCUCAUUUAUUUUUCUAAUAAAAUAUCUUACUUUAUAUUGAUACAGUGCUCCCAGUUUAAAAUGGUUUUGCCUCCAUAAUGUGAUUUUUUUCCUUGUGCCCAAUGUGAAAGACAGGCUGACUGAGGAAUCCAAGCUAACAGAGUACACAAGUGGCAAUGGAUGGUAGGAUCAGAAUUUUAAUAUGGGUCUUUUGCUGUGUUCUUUCUACUGUCCUCACGAUUCUCUUUCCAGGAUUUACAAAAUGAAGAUAUUUGUUAGGUAUGGACUUUCUGAUUGAAAUUAGAGCUGAUCAAGUUCUUGAAUUCUAAAUUGUUCUCUUUGACUGACAAAGGGAAGAAUGAAAAAAUAGAAGAAAAAAGAAAAGAAAGAUGAGAAAACAUGACUGAAAGACAUAAUGUGAUGUAAGAAAUGAAAGGGUUUGAUAAUGAUUUGGGUACCUAGAUGAAAAGAAGAAUUAGAAAUAAAAUUGACCUCAAGAUUUCAAAUAUGAGAAAUCAGCUGAUCAUCAAAGCUAUUUUCAGAAAUACUGUGAAAUAAAAAGUGGUUUGACACAAAAUAGAUUUGUUUGGCUAAAACUGUGAUGAAUGUCAGGUGACAAUCAAACUUACAAAACAUAACAGAAGGAUAAGACCAGAAGAUGGGCAUUCAUUUAAUGACAAUACAUAAAACUACAAUUAAAAGCUACAGAUGGGGUAAAAGGCAAUAGGUUAUGCUCUAAAUGCUGAAUCUACAGGGGAAUCUAACAUGUAGGGAAAGAAGAGGAAAAGGAGAGGAGGGAUGUAGUAAAAAGCAGAUGAUUAAAUAAUGCAAAUCAAUAGACAAGAAGGGAGGAGAAAAUUCAAGAAACGAGAACUGAUCGCGUAUGUCAGUAAAGAAAAGCAGACAAUUGGAAUGAGGUUUGGAAACUACUCAUCAAAUUUAUCACAAUUUAAAUGAAUUAUCUGAGUAGAAUUACAUCUUUCCUAAUUAAACUACAGGUACAUAAAGGCAGACCUAAUUGUUCCCUACUAUAAUUCCAGUGACCCUAUAGAUGAUAGAUAGAUAGAUAGAUAGAUAGAUAGAUAGAUAGAUAAUAGAUAGAUAGAUGAUAGAUAGACCAUAGAUAGAUCUAUCUAUAUAUAUAGAUAGGUUUAAAUAUACAUUAUGUAGAUAUAGAUAAUGUUUUUCAUUCAAAGGAAACUGUAAUACUUAAGCAAGUGCCUCUGUCUUAUUUCACAUCACAUUAUGUUCUCAAAUUCCAUCCGUUUACUAACAAAUGUCUCAACUUUAUCUUUCUUUAUGGCAGCACAGUACUCUGUUGUAUAUAAAUGCCACAUUUUUCUAUCCACUCAUCAGUUGAUGGUCAUUUACACUUUCAUCAUCUAGUUAUUAUAAGUUAUAUUGCUAUAAACAUAGGUAUGCAUAUAUUCCUAUAAUAUGAUGAUUUUCACUUUUGGAAACAUACAUAUAAAGAGGAUAGUUGGGUCAAAUGGAAACCCCAUUUUUAGUUACUUGAGGAAUCUCCACACUAAUUUCCCAUAGUGCUGGUACUAGUUUACAUUCCUACCAACAAUACAGAAGAAUUCACGUAUCCCUAUAUACUUGCUAGCAUUUGUUAUUAUUAUAUUUUUGAUAAUAGUCAUUAGUGAGGGAAGAUAGUAUCUCAUUGUAGUUUUAAUUUGCAUUUCUCUGAUGGUCAGCAAAAAUGAGAUUUUUCUAUGUAUCUAUUGUCCAUUUGUAUUUCUGUAAGAAGUGUCUAUUCAUUUCAGUGGCCUUUUUAAAAAAUUGAGUCAUUUAUUUUAGGGGAGGACUAAUCUUUCUGUAUUCUUGUCAGUGCUUACCUAUUCAUUGUUUUAAAAAUAUUUCAUGUAUACUAAUUUGCUUCAUUUAUACUAUAAAUUUAUCUUAGCUCAUUAAAAAGAAAGUUUUGUGUUAUCCAUUUGUCUCUUAUUUUAAGAACUUUUUGUUCUAUGCUUUGUACUUAAACUUUCAAGAUAAUUUUACAUUAACAAUUAAGUAUUGUUAAUUAUCUUAUCAUUUUAUUAUGAGAUUUUGGGAGCUAUUUCAUAAAAUAAAAAUAAAAAUAAGAAUAUUCAGAUAAAAAAAGCAUCUGGUGCCUAGCUGUGUCUCACCAAUACCUGUCACUAAAUUUUAAUUGAAUGAAUGAAUACACAAAUAGGUAAUGGAUUUCUUUACAGCACUAUAUACAGAUGAUUUGGGAGUACAAUGUCAGUAAUGUGAUCAAGAUAGAUUUUAUCUCACAGAGUAAUUUUAAAGCUAUUUUUUUAUAGUAACUGGGGGUAACACUUAGGGCCUUCACAUAGAGAUACACUCCACAUAUUUAAAUUUUUUUUAAUUUUCAGGCAAAAUCUUGGAAAGCCAGUAAGUCACUUAGGCUGUGCUCAAAUUUGCAAUUCUCUUGUCUCCACUUCUCAGAGGACUGUAACUUCCUCCAUGUGCCACUUUGCUUGGUCGCAAAAGUCAAUUAAAAAAAAAAAAAGUGAAGCCACAGGGGCGUGCUUUACUAACCAUAUCUUACCAAAAUGUUUUGCUGAAAGAGAAGCUGACUCAUUGAACUUGCCUUCCCAGCACACAGCAGAACCAGAAGUCUGUGAACUAGGACUUGGAGGGAUACGGAGAAAUAAUAAUCAGAAGAUGUGGAGAAACAGAAGACCCAGGAAAUCAUGAAACUACUCAAAGAAAGAGAUCACCAGGAAUGAAACCUGCUGAAGACAAGAUAAAGAAUUCUGUGAAAUCAUCUAAAAUACGCAAAUCUGUGGCAUGGAAGCUAAUGGUCCUCCAAGUAAAUCACGCUACAGGAUACCAGAACCCAAGUCUCCUCCCUAUCAUUUUAGUACACUUACUCCAUGUAAUAAAGACUCGUCUGCACAGUUCAA